AUUGAACGCUGGCGGCAGGCCUAACACAUGCAAGUCGAGCGGAUGAAGGGAGCUUGCUCCUGGAUUCAGCGGCGGACGGGUGAGUAAUGCCUAGGAAUCUGCCUGGUAGUGGGGCAUAACGUCCGGAAACGGGCGCUAAUACCGCAUACGUCCUGAGGGAGAAAGUGGGGGAUCUUCGGACCUCACGCUAUCAGAUGAGCCUAGGUCGGAUUAGCUAGUUGGUGGGGUAAAGGCCUACCAAGGCGACGAUCCGUAACUGGUCUGAGAGGAUGAUCAGUCACACUGGAACUGAGACACGGUCCAGACUCCUACGGGAGGCAGCAGUGGGGAAUAUUGGACAAUGGGCGAAAGCCUGAUCCAGCCAUGCCGCGUGUGUGAAGAAGGUCUUCGGAUUGUAAAGCACUUUAAGUUGGGAGGAAGGGCAGUAAGUUAAUACCUUGCUGUUUUGACGUUACCAACAGAAUAAGCACCGGCUAACUUCGUG
rnacentral:rRNA from 1 species